GGGGUUGUGGCUCAGCGGUACAGUGUUCACCUAGCACUUGCAAGGCCUGGGUUCGAUCCUCAGCACCACA
rnacentral:tRNA from 1 species